rnacentral:rRNA from 1 species
UGUUUCGGCUAGGGGGCCAUCCCGGCUUACCAACCCGAUGCAAACUGCGAAUACCGGAGAAUGUUAUCACGGGAGACACACGGCGGGUGCUAACGUCCGUCGUGAAGAGGGAAACAACCCAGACCGCCAGCUAAGGUCCCAAAGUCAUGGUUAAGUGGGAAACGAUGUGGGAAGGCCCAGACAGCCAGGAUGUUGGCUUAGAAGCAGCCAUCAUUUAAAGAAAGCGUAAUAGCUCACUGGUCGAGUCGGCCUGCGCGGAAGAUGUAACGGGGCUAAACCAUGCACCGAAGCUGCGGCAGCGAACGUAUCACUUAAAGCGAUUCAGCGGGUUACGAUUGACGGAGCGAAGCGACGUCAAAGCGUAUACAAAGUCGAGUCGGUUUAAGGAUACGUUCGUUGGGUAGGGGAGCGUUCUGUAAGCCUGUGAAGGUGGCCUGUGAGGGUUGCUGGAGGUAUCAGAAGUGCGAAUGCUGACAUAAGUAACGAUAAAGCGGGUGAAAAGCCCGCUCGCCGGAAGACCAAGGGUUCCUGUCCAACGUUAAUCGGGGCAGGGUGAGUCGACCCCUAAGGCGAGGCCGAAAGGCGUAGUCGAUGGGAAACGGGUUAAUAUUCCCGUACUUGGUGUUACUGCGAAGGGGGGACGGAGAAGGCUAUGUUGGCCGGGCGACGGUUGUCCCGGUUUAAGCGUGUAGGUGUGUGUUCCAGGUAAAUCCGGUUCACUUUAACACUGAGGCGUGACGACGAGGCACUACGGUGCUGAAGCAACAAAUGCCCUGCUUCCAGGAAAAGCCUCUAAGCAUCAGGUAACAUCAAAUCGUACCCCAAACCGACACAGGUGGUCAGGUAGAGAAUACCAAGGCGCUUGAGAGAACUCGGGUGAAGGAACUAGGCAAAAUGGUGCCGUAACUUCGGGAGAAGGCACGCUGACACGUAGGUGAAGUGAUUUACUCAUGGAGCUGAAGUCAGUCGAAGAUACCAGCUGGCUGCAACUGUUUAUUAAAAACACAGCACUGUGCAAACACGAAAGUGGACGUAUACGGUGUGACGCCUGCCCGGUGCCGGAAGGUUAAUUGAUGGGGUCAGCGCAAGCGAAGCUCCUGAUCGAAGCCCCGGUAAACGGCGGCCGUAACUAUAACGGUCCUAAGGUAGCGAAAUUCCUUGUCGGGUAAGUUCCGACCUGCACGAAUGGCGUAAUGAUGGCCAGGCUGUCUCCACCCGAGACUCAGUGAAAUUGAACUCGCUGUGAAGAUGCAGUGUACCCGCGGCAAGACGGAAAGACCCCGUGAACCUUUACUAUAGCUUGACACUGAACAUUGAGCCUUGAUGUGUAGGAUAGGUGGGAGGCUUUGAAGCGUGGACGCCAGUCUGCGUGGAGCCGACCUUGAAAUACCACCCUUUAAUGUUUGAUGUUCUAACGUGGACCCGUUACCCGGGUUGCGGACAGUGUCUGGUGGGUAGUUUGACUGGGGCGGUCUCCUCCUAAAGAGUAACGGAGGAGCACGAAGGUUGGCUAAUCCUGGUCGGACAUCAGGAGGUUAGUGCAAUGGCAUAAGCCAGCUUGACUGCGAGCGUGACGGCGCGAGCAGGUGCGAAAGCAGGUCAUAGUGAUCCGGUGGUUCUGAAUGGAAGGGCCAUCGCUCAACGGAUAAAAGGUACUCCGGGGAUAACAGGCUGAUACCGCCCAAGAGUUCAUAUCGACGGCGGUGUUUGGCACCUCGAUGUCGGCUCAUCACAUCCUGGGGCUGAAGUAGGUCCCAAGGGUAUGGCUGUUCGCCAUUUAAAGUGGUACGCGAGCUGGGUUUAGAACGUCGUGAGACAGUUCGGUCCCUAUCUGCCGUGGGCGCUGGAGAACUGAGGGGGGCUGCUCCUAGUACGAGAGGACCGGAGUGGACGCAUCACUGGUGUUCGGGUUGUCAUGCCAAUGGCACUGCCCGGUAGCUAAAUGCGGAAGAGAUAAGUGCUGAAAGCAUCUAAGCACGAAACUUGCCCCGA